GUGCCAGCAGCCGCGGUAAUACCGGCAGCCCGAGUGAUGGCCGAUCUUAUUGGGCCUAAAGCGUCCGUAGCUGGCUACGCAAGUCCGUCGGGAAAUCCACUCGCCCAACGAGUGGGCGUCCGACGGAAACUGCAUAGCUUGGGACCGGAAGGCUCGAAGGGUACGUGCGGGGUAGGAGUGAAAUCCCAUAAUCCCGCACGGACCACCGAUGGCGAAACCACCUCAGGAGAACGGAUCCGACAGUGAGGGACGAAAGCCAGGGUCUCCAACCGGAUUAGAUACCCGAGUAGUCC
rnacentral:rRNA from 1 species